AAAAAGGGCUUCUGUUGUGAGUGGCACCUUUAGGGCAAUGUGAUUGCUCUACAUGCAGAAUCGACAUCAAGCGAUUUCAGAAGCACAAUUUUUUGGUACCUGGGCAGUUAGUGAUCCUUGGUCCUGGCACCUGC